rnacentral:rRNA from 1 species
AUUGAACGCUGGCGGCAGGCCUAACACAUGCAAGUCGAACGAGUGGCGGACGGGUGAGUAAUGUCUGGGCAACUGCCUGAUGGAUGGGGUUAACUACUGGAAACGGUAGCUAAUACCGCACACCUUCAGCUGUGCCCAGAUGGGAUGAGCUUGUUGGUGGGGUAUCGGCUCACCACGGCGACGAUCCCUAGCUGGUCUGAGAGGAUGACCAGUCACAAGGGAACUGAGACACGGGCUAGAGGCCUACGGGAGGCAGCAGUGGGGAAUAUUGGACAAGGGGCGCAAGCCUGAUGCAGCCAUGCGGCGUGUAUGAAGAAGGUCUUCGGGUUGUAAAGUACUUUCAGCGGGGAGGCGUUACCCGCAGAAGAAGCACCGGCUAACUCCGUGCCAGCAGCCGCGGUAAUAC